GGUUGGAGGUCACGGGGAGCAGAGCAAGGAGAUUGAUGCUGCUGGCCAUGCAAAGCCCUGUGGUGGGUUUAAAUAUAAAAAGAGCUUGCAAAGGACCAUAGUGCGCACUAGCAAGCCUGCAAAUGCCAGAGUGAUCCGCCUGCAAAAUAUUAGCAGUAAAGGACACCAGGCCUGCAAAAUACUUGAGCGGGAGUUCCGCAAAAGGAAGAGGAAAUUUGAGAUCAAGUCUGGAGUUGGUGUUUCAGGCCUUCAUCAGCUUAAGCUGAAUGGAGUGGGUCCAUUCACCACGUAGCACAAACAGGCCAACCCGCGCUGCUGUUUGAAUUGCUCUGCUUAUGUCAACCCAUUUUAGAAGAUGGGGUUUGCAAGGGCUCGGUGACGAGAGUCCAAACUCCAGAUUCGUCAGUUUCGUUCAAUGAGGGCUGGCUUCGAUAAUGGAGCCAAAAGGCUUUGCGGCGUCUCCCUUGGGGUGACCCUAUGGCUUAGGUGUUUCAGGU